AAGCAACGCGAAGAACCUUACCAGGUCUUGACAUCCUCUGACAACCCUAGAGAUAAGGCGUUCCCUUCGGGGACAGAGUGACAGGUGGCGCAUGGUUGUCGUCAGCUCGUGUCGUGAGAUGUUGGGUUAAGUCCCGCAACGAGCGCAACCCUUGAUCUUAGUUGCCAGCAUUUAGUUGGGCACUCUAAGGUGACUGCCGGUGACAAACCGGAGGAAGGUGGGGAUGACGUCAAAUCAUCAUGCCCCUUAUGACCUGGGCUACACACGUGCUACAAUGGAUGGAACAAAGGGCAGCAAAACCGCGAGGUCUAGCUAAUCCCAUAAAACCAUUCUCAGUUCGGAUUGCAGGCUGCAACUCGCCUGCAUGAAGCCGGAAUCGCUAGUAAUCGCGGAUCAGCAUGCCGCGGUGAAUACGUUCCCGGGCCUUGUACACACCGCCCGUCACACCACGAGAGUUUGUAACACCCGAAGUCGGU
rnacentral:rRNA from 1 species